UACGUAGGGUGCGAGCGUUGUCCGGAAUUAUUGGGCGUAAAGGGCUCGUAGGCGGUCUGUCGCGUCGGGAGUGAAAACUCAGGGCUUAACCCUGAGCCUGCUUCCGAUACGGGCAGACUAGAGGUAUGCAGGGGAGAACGGAAUUCCUGGUGUAGCGGUGAAAUGCGCAGAUAUCAGGAGGAACGCCGGUGGCGAAGGCGGUUCUCUGGGCAUUACCUGACGCUGAGGAGCGAAAGUGUGGGGAGCGAGCAGG
rnacentral:rRNA from 1 species